rnacentral:tRNA from 1 species
GCUGGUGUAGCUCAGUUGGCAGAGCAGCUGCCUUGUAAGCAGCGGGUCGCAGGUUCGAAUCCUGUCAUCAGCUCCA